AGAGUUUGAUCCUGGCUCAGGACGAACGCUGGCGGCGUGCCUAAUGCAUGCAAGUCGAGCGACGCGCACUACGGUGCGACGGAGCGGCGAACGGGUGAGUAACACGUGAGCAACCUGCCCUGAAGACCGGAAUAGCCCGGGGAAACCCGGUGUAAUGCCGGAUACACUCCCGAUACCGCAUGGUAUGGGAGAAAACGCCUUUGUGCUUCAGGAUGGGCUCACGGCCUAUCAGCUAGUUGGUGAGGUAACGGCUCACCAAGGCGACGACGGGUAGCUGGUCUGAGAGGACGAUCAGCCACACUGGGACUGAGACACGGCCCAGACUCCUACGGGAGGCAGCAGCAGGGAAUAUUGCGCAAUGGGCGAAAGCCUGACGCAGCGACGCCGCGUGGGGGAUGAAUGCCUUCGGGUUGUAAACCCCUUUCAGGAGGGAAGAAAUUGACGGUACCUCCAAAAGAAGCCCCGGCCAACUACGUGCCAGCAGCCGCGGUAAGACGUAGGGGGCAAGCGUUGUCCGGAAUCAUUGGGCGUAAAGGGCUCGUAGGCGGCUCGGUAAGUUGAUCGUGAAAUCCCGGAGCUCAACUCCGGAACUGCGGUCGAUACUGCCGUGGCUAGAGUCAGGUAGAGGAGAGUAGAAUUCCCGGUGUA
rnacentral:rRNA from 1 species